CCCUGUGAGAUCUCGUUGUGAAUUCGCUCAUGCUCGUCUCUGUGAAUUCAGCCGACGUUCCUCGUCUCUGGUUCACGUGAGCCUUCUUUGUGUUGCCAACAAACAAAGUUGUCGUCAUACUUGUCCACUUCUCCACUCAGCUUAUCAGACCUAAGCUUGGGCAGGAACAAAGAAGAGAAACUUCGUAACCCUUCUUAGCUUCAAUCAAAAAGUCUCCUUUUAUAAAAGAUUUCAGAAAACACCAAAGUCGAAGCAAAGAGAGUGUUCAUAGGAGCAGGAUGCAACAGAGUCGUCAAUAACGUCUCUUGGGGAGCUUCGGGUCUCGUCUCUUUCGGUGCCAAAAUGCUGUUGCUGUUUUCUGCCCAAAGACUGCCCAGAUUGUUACUACACUUCCAGAUUGUUUUAUGUUCUUGAUUUAGCGUUUUCAGUAUCUUGAAUCACGCCAUAGGGUGGAAUUGAUGAAGUUGAGGAUCCAAGAGCUGCAGUCAUGGGAGAGCUUGAAGAAGGACUGGAGCUUAGAUUAUAAUACUCGCAUCCAUAUUUGUUAAAGCGAGACCAAGUCUUUGUGUGUGUGUGUUGAUCAUGAAAUAUUAACUAGUGGAACAUAACUACUUGUUGCAUCAUAGCUGUAUUCUUGUUUGGUUUCUAAAACCUUUUAAAAGCAUGUC